AAGCAACCCAAUGUUCAUUGAUAGAUGAAUCAAUAAACAAAAUGUGGUAUAUACAUACAAUUGAAUAUUACUCAGCCUUUAAAAAGAAUGAGAUUCUGGCACAUGCUACAGCAUGGAGGAAGCCUGCGCCACUGAUAACAUUAUGCUAAGUGAAGUAAGCCAAACACAUAAGGACAGAUAUUGUAUGAUUCCACUUAGAUGAGAUGCCUAAAAGAGUCCAGUUCACAGGAGGUAGAAUAGUGGUUGGCAGGGGAUGAGGGUAGAGAAG
rnacentral:lncRNA from 10 species